UUGUGAAGGUCCCAGCGGAGGGGUAAAGAACUCUGCAAAUUGAGGCCUCUCUAACGAGUUGAUUCAAAACCUUCGCAAAUUUACUUAUUGGCUGAAUCGUAGGAUGCUCCAAAUUAUUCUCUAUUUUGGUGCUUCUGGAACCCUCAGCUAUAUAUAC